GCAUCAUAGGUCUUACGGUAGUAGCUGCUGAUAUAUGCUUCUAAACCUUGACCUCAAAUUGGAGUAUGCAAGCUUUUAUUUUGCCAGCCUACCCUGCAAUUUUGACUGGCCUACGGGAGGGCUCUGCUGGUACCUUGCAAAUGAAAGUUUCCAAGGAAAUGUUCUCAUUGCCACUUUGGAUUGCAGACAAUGGGAAGAAACUGGCAGGCUCAGAAAGAUUUUUUUUCCUUAGGCUAUGAUUCUUCACCUCUGUGAAAGGUUGCAGCGAAAGGUGAAUGGAAUAGCCUUUCUGAUGCAUGCAUAUAGACUCCUGAAGAAGAAAAAGAGACUGUGCAAGAAAGAUUUAGGUUAGACAUUGGGAAACCCUUCUUCAUAGUGAGAGCCUGAAAGCUCCAGGAGAGAUUGAGCAGAUCAUUUGCCACCAUGACUGGGGCUGCGAGGAAUAACAUGAACAUCACCAAUUCUGGCUUUGGACAAGCAGGUGUAUUUUUGGUUGUCACUACCAACUGCAUUUUCUAGUAAAAUUUGGCAGUGUUUCAUCUCUGACUCUGAGAUGAGCUUCAGCAUCAUAGAAAUGAGGACUGAUCAAGAGAUUCCCCUGGAACAUUCAUUUUGGGCAACAGUUCCUCUGUGUUCUUGCCAUGAAGUUCAAGCGGAUGCGGUGCUACUCUGACUCAGGGCUGAAGCUUUGGGCUGUUCCCAAGUUGCCUACAGUGUCUGUGAGAAAGUGAUGGUCUUGCCAGGUGUAAUGUAUCAUGCUACAAGCACAACACAGCUGAAGCAAUCAAAUAUCAAUGGAGUGACUAGAUCCAAGUUUGAGGAUCCUUACUUAGAGCUGAACACUUACUUGGGUGUAUACUUUGGAGACUUUCUUUUAUCAUCUGCUUCAUAACAGCAAAACCUAAAUGGAAAGUCUGUUGUACCGUGCCAGCUGUACUUAGCACAAAACAUAUUUCUAGCCCUUAAGACUGACUAGCAAGCUGCUCUUGUUAUGAUGCUUUGCUUCCAAUUGCCUACAUCCAGGUUGAAGCUUUUGAUCUGUGAACAUCCCAAAUUAAGAAAUUUCUCCUCAAAAAGAGCGUCUGUGGACAGGCAGACCCUUGUAUUGUCCAUAUCCAUGCCUUUUCAGACAAGGCAUGCUCACGCAGUUCUGCAGAACCACUGUAAUUUUCCUGGUGACUUAUUUUCAAUUUUGGUGUUGGACACUGCAAGCACUUGUUUGCACUGCCCUGCUGAGCAGAGCAAGGGGUGUUGCUAUCAUGGGACCAGAUGAUAGGAAACCUUUCAAGAGUAUUUGUUCCUCACCUCCAAAUAAACGUUCACUCUUUUCAUUCUGUUUUCUACACUUUAUUGUUAGGUUUAAAUCUAUUUUGGAUGGCAGAUUUAUAUUUCUUCAUAGUAAACAUCUAUAAAAAUAUUACGAACAACAAGAAAUUAACAGAAAAAAAAGGAGAAAGCAAUUAUGCUAUGAGUUCAAUGACUGUUUACCAAGACAGAGUUUCAGUUGAGUAGUUCCAGUCUUCAUACGGAAUGACUGCCUUGUGCUGCCUGCAAUAUAUCAAACUUGCUUUCAGCUAAAAGUGUAUACCACUUUCUUUGAUUGUGAGUGCAAAGGUCUUUGUGCUGCAUGAGUAAUAGUAUGAAUGUCUUUGUUUAGAGGAAAAAAGCAAUUCCUCUUAGUAUCAUAAGCUGCUAAGUAAAUGUAAUUAGGAACAUCCAGGCAGUAUGAAGAUCUCCCACCCUGCUAGUACGCAUCAAUUCAUCCAGCCUUGAUUUUGGAAUCUCUCUAGUCCUUCCCCUUUACUGCUUAAGGAGAAAGUAAAGAGAGUACAAGAACAGAUUAUUUAUUUAUUUAUUUAUUUAUUUAUUUGGAGCAAUUGGCAUACAACCAGAACUGCUGCAUCUACAGCGUGCAAUUUCUUGUGAUUUCCAGAAACCUCUUAUAUAUGAUGCACUCUAGGAAGGUAUCUGAUUUUGUGUAUUCAGUGCAUCAGUGUACUAGGCGGCUUUUUUCAUGGAAUUUGUCUCCUUGUACAACUAACAAAGGUAGGAGUUGCAUGGUAAUCAGGAAGCAUUUCAUUCUUGGCCCUGCACUGUGCCCAUUACUACUAGUAGUGUUUCUCCACAUGGUGUUUGUCCCUGAGGUAUUGAAUUGAAGGAUGUGGAAGCCCACUGUUCAGCCUGGCCCCAAGUAGUGAUGAGGAUGUCCCUUGACUUUCCUUCGGUUAUGUCUCCAAUGAGAAAUAUGGCAGGAGAAGAAACACAAUAAAUAAAGAGGAAGGAAGUGCUUCCUUGCCAAGCAGGAUGGUAAAUUUGUAGGAGAGGCUCUGUCUGUUGUGGAUAUAAGCAGUGGAAGACUGCAGUGGAAGAGUGAGAAAUGCUGGAGGCUAACAAUUGGCUUUUACUGCCCUACAGCCUAACAUGAGCUGCAUAGUGAGAAAGGUGUUUCCCAAGCCAAGCACUGUGUGGUACAUGGACCAAGCAAAACCUGACAGAGUGGC